rnacentral:rRNA from 1 species
GACGAACGCUGGCGGCGCGCCUAAUGCAUGCAAGUCGAGCGACGCACAUCGGAGGGGUAACCCACCGGUAUGACGGAGCGGCGAACGGGUGAGUAACACGUGAGCAACCUGCCCCACAGACCGGGAUAGCCCAGGGAAACUUGGAUUAAUACCGGAUAUCCUCUCGGAACCACAUGGUCCUGCGAGGAAAUGCCUUUGUGCUGUGGGAUGGGCUCGCGGCUUAUCAGCUAGUUGGUGGGGUAACGGCCUACCAAGGCAUCGACGAGUAGCUGGUCUGAGAGGACGAUCAGCCACACUGGGACUGAGACACGGCCCAGACACCUACGGGUGGCUG